GUAUUAUGCAUAAAAAUUCAUGGUUGUUACACUGGGGUAUGUGAAGAAAGACAUGGAAGAACAAGGAAAGCCCACGAAAAAAAAUGAUGUUUUUUCGCAAAGCAGUCCUAAUGAUCCAAGGGAAACCCCUCAGACAAUGAGAUCCAUGUGAGCGAGUGCACAAGUAGAUGGAGAAAUGAAGAAGGACAGAGCGUGCACGGCCAGAAGGCCAGCGACAGCUCCGUCAUAGGCAUUUCGAUAAUGAUCCUUCCGCAGGUUCACCUACGGAAA
rnacentral:misc_RNA from 1 species